rnacentral:tRNA from 1 species
GCGCCUGUGGUGGAACUGGUAGACAGGACAGACUUAAACGCUGUCGCCCUUGGGCGUGGGGGUUCGAAUCCCCCCGGGCGCA